rnacentral:rRNA from 1 species
CCUACGGGUGGCUGCAGUAAGGAAUAUUGGUCAAUGGACGCAAGUCUGAACCAGCCAUGCCGCGUGGAGGAUGAAUGCCCUCUGGGUUGUAAACUCCUUUUAUCUGGGAAGAAACCUAUACAUUCUUGUGUAGUUGACGGUACCAGAGGAAUAAGCACCGGCUAACUCCGUGCCAGCAGCCGCGGUAAUACGGAGGGUGCAAGCGUUAUCCGGAUUCACUGGGUUUAAAGGGUGCGUAGGUGGAUUGGUAAGUCAGUGGUGAAAUCCCCGAGCUU